UACGUAGGGUCCGAGCGUUGUCCGGAAUUAUUGGGCGUAAAGAGCUCGUAGGCGGUUUGUUGCGUCGGCCGUGAAAACCUGCAGCUUAACUGUGGGCCUGCGGCCGAUACGGGCAGACUUGAGUUCGGUAGGGGAGACUGGAAUUCCUGGUGUAGCGGUGAAAUGCGCAGAUAUCAGGAGGAACACCGGUGGCGAAGGCGGGUCUCUGGGCCGAUACUGACGCUGAGGAGCGAAAGCGUGGGGAGCGAACAGG
rnacentral:rRNA from 1 species